UACGGGGGGGGGCAAGCGUUUGUUCGGAAUUACUGGGCGUAAAGAGCGCGCAGGCGGUCGUUCAAGUCGCGUGUGAAAGCCCCCCGGCUCAACUGGGGAGGGUCACGCGAUACUGAUCGACUCGAAGGCAGGAGAGGGUAGUGGAAUUCCCGGUGUAGUGGUGAAAUGCGCAGAUAUGCGGAGGAACACCGAUGGCGAAGGCAAUCCCCUGGACCUGUACUGACGCUCAUGCACGAAAGCGUGGGGAGCAAACAGG
rnacentral:rRNA from 1 species